rnacentral:rRNA from 1 species
AUACGUAGGGUGCGAGCGUUGUCCGGAAUUACUGGGCGUAAAGAGCUCGUAGGUGGUUUGUCGCGUCGUCUGUGAAAUUCCGGGGCUUAACUCCGGGCGUGCAGGCGAUACGGGCAUAACUUGAGUACUGUAGGGGAGACUGGAAUUCCUGGUGUAGCGGUGAAAUGCGCAGAUAUCAGGAGGAACACCGGUGGCGAAGGGGGGUCUCUGGGCAGUAACUGACGCUGAGGAGCGAAAGCAUGGUUAGCGAACAGGAUUAGAUACCCUGGUAGUCCAUGCCGUAAACGGUGGGCGCUAGGUGUAGGGGUCUUCCACGACUUCUGUGCCGUAGCUAACGCAUUAAGCGCCCCGCCUGGGGAGUACGGCCGCAAGGCUAAAACUCAAAUGAAUUGACGGGG